rnacentral:rRNA from 1 species
GACGAACGCUGGCGGCGUGCCUAAUACAUGCAAGUUGAGCGCUGAAGGUUGGUACUUGUACCGACUGGAUGAGCAGCGAACGGGUGAGUAACGCGUGGGGAAUCUGCCUUUGAGCGGGGGACAACAUUUGGAAACGAAUGCUAAUACCGCAUAAAAACUUUAAACACAAGUUUUAAGUUUGAAAGAUGCAAUUGCAUCACUCAAAGAUGAUCCCGCGUUGUAUUAGCUAGUUGGUGAGGUAAAGGCUCACCAAGGCGAUGAUACAUAGCCGACCUGCGAGGGUGAUCGGCCAAAUUGGGACUGAGACACGGCCCAAACUCCUACGGGAGGCAGCAGUAGGGAAUCUUGGGCAAGGGACGAAAGUCUGACCGAGCAACGCCGCGUGAGUGAAGAAGGUUGUCGGAUCGUAAAACUCCGUUGGUAGAGAAGAACGUUGGUGAGAGUGGAAAGCUCAUCAAGUGACGGUAACUACCCAGAAAGGGACGGCUAACUACGUG